UAUCUGUAACAAUUUUUUCUGUCAACUCCACUUGGUAAGAAUGCUGGGGGCAGUCAGUGGAAUCAGCCACACCACCACAUACUUUUAUGCGACAGGGGCUUUUUUGUCUUGUUUUUGCCAGUGACCUCGCGCUUUUUCGCUUGGCGUCGCUCUUCGGUUGGGCACUUUUGUUUUUGGUAGCCACACUUUUCGCUUAACAAAUCCACAUUGUUUUUUUUUCCUAAUAUCCACUUAUUCUUAAUUUUUUGUUUGUUUCUUUUACAUGCACAAGAGGUUGCAUUAUGGCUGGAUAAUGAAAAUAGCCCUGAGAUGAGACUAGAUUAGGCUGGGUAGUUUAAGCUAUCGAUACAAAUAGAGUUUUGCGCACUGAGAGUACAACAAUUUAUUUGUGCUCAGUUGAUACUUGACUAUCCUUCAAAAUUCUUGUUUAUCUAUUCUUGUUUCUUUUUAUAGGGGGGUGUAAGCAGAGAUACCAACCAUCAAAAUUCAGAGAGCAACAACAUCAAUGAAGACCUGGACCAAACUUUUCAUGGCAAUGUUUCUAAAGUUCAGGCCUCUAACAUUGAUUUAAUAAAAACAUAUACAUCAGAUAGCAUGUUGCUUGAUGGUAUCAGAAAAAUGCUGCAAAAGAGUGAUGAAAGGAAACAGAGGAGGAAUGUUUUGAAGGAGCAAAGCAGAAAGAGGUCAAGGGCUCAGAAGGGAACAACCCCAGAAUGUUUGCAUAAAGGAAGAGCAAGAAAAAGAACGCCCACUUUUCCCUUGUCUUUUUUUGGCAAGCUUGUUUGACAAGAAAAGUGCCCAGACCUGGACUGGCACAAGGCCAACAUCUGUUCCCAAUCCUUUUCUUUACAACAAACAA